rnacentral:misc_RNA from 3 species
AACGCACAUUGCGCCCGCCAGCAUUCUGGCGGGCAUGCCUGUUCGAGCGUCAUUUCAACCCUCGAGCCCGACUUCCUUGCGGAGGACGGCUCGGCGUUGGGGGACGGCACACUCCCCCCGGCUUGCCGGGGACGCCGCCCCCGAAAUUCAGUGGCGGCCCUCGGAGGCGACCUCUGCGUAGUAAUUUAACCUCGCAAAGGAAAGCUUCGAGCGGCCACGCCGUGAAACCCCAACUAUUUUAAGGUUGACCUCGAAUCAGGUAGGACUACCCGCUGAACUUAA